AGCAGCCGCGGUAAUUCCAGCUCCAAUAGCGUAUAUUAAAGUUGUUGCAGUUAAAAAGCUCGUAGUUGAAUUUCGGGGUUAGUGAGUUGGUCGUGCCUCUGGUAUGCACUGGCUCUACUGAUUCCUCCUUCUUGAAGAACUGUAAUGUCAUUAAUUUGGUGUUGCAGGGAAACAGGACUGUUACUUUGAAAAAUUAGAGUGUUUAAAGCAGGCAAUCGCUUGAAUACAUUAGCAUGGAAUAAUGAAAUAGGACGUUGAUACUAUUUUGUUGGUUUCUAGGGUUGGCGUAAUGAUUAAUAGGGAUAGUUGGGGGCAUUAGUAUUCAAUUGUCAGAGGUGAAAUUCUUGGAUUUAUUGAAGACUAACUACUGCGAAAGCAUUUGCCAAGGAUGUUUCAUUA
rnacentral:rRNA from 1 species